rnacentral:lncRNA from 1 species
CUAAGUCAUGUUUACAUUUUUCUUCCACUUUUAAUUGUAAAACUAAACUGACUUUGUUAUAUGCAGGGAUUCAGAAUUCGUGGACGAAUUCUCUCCAACUCGAGGAGUAUGAUGAGAAUCAAAUAAAAGAGGCUUUUAUUAAUGGAGGAAGAGGACAUCCACCUUCACAUUUGAAGUUCUUCCUUCUAGUCUUCUCAAAAUUAAAAGAAGACAUAAAAUAAAAGAUGAGGCCCAAGCCCAAAGCCCAAGCCCAAGCCCAAGAAGGCCAAAGCCCAAAGAGCCCAAGUCCA